UAGUCCACGCCGUAAACGAUGUCUACUUGGAGGUUGUUCCCUUGAGGAGUGGCUUUCGGAGCUAACGCGUUAAGUAGACCGCCUGGAGAGUACGGUCGCAAGAUUAAAACUCAAAUGAAUUGACGGGGGCCCGCACAAGCGGUGGAGCAUGUGGUUUAAUUCGAUGCAACGCGAAGAACCUUACCUACUCUUGACAUCUACAGAAGCCGGCAGAGAUGCUGGUGUGCCUUCGGGAACUGUAAGACAGGUGCUGCAUGGCUGUCGUCAGCUCGUGUUGUGAAAUGUUGGGUUAAGUCCCGCAACGAGCGCAACCCUUAUCCUUGAUUGCCAGCACUUCGGGUGGGAACUUCAGGGAGACUGCCGGUGAUAAACCGGAGGAAGGUGGGGACGACGUCAAGUCAUCAUGGCCCUUACGAGUAGGGCUACACACGUGCUACAAUGGCGCAUACAGAGGGCGGCGAGCCAGCGAUGGUGAGCGAAUCCCAAAAAGUGCGUCGUAGUCCGG
rnacentral:rRNA from 1 species